AUAAUAUAACCCGGUAUAUGUAAUAUACCGGGAGGUAAGAGUAAGAUAGGGUUAGGUUAAGACAAGGUAGAAUUAAUAGAAUAGAAUAAGAAUCUAACACCCGGUGAUCUCCGAAGGAGGUCACCGGGUGAGGCACAAAGUGAGGAUAGGUCAAUCAAUGUAUAGAUAACGAUAAAGAUAAUAUUAAUAAUAUUAACCACCUCAUCUUAUAGAGAUGAGGUGAGACAGGUUAAGUAAUAGAUAUAUUAUGAUAAUAGAUAGUAAUAAUAUAAUAUAAUAAUUAAGAUAAUUAGAUAAGAGAUAUAUUCUCCUAUAAGAGAAGUUAGAUAACAUGUCUUAGAUAAAAAUAAGUGAAGACUUAUAUAAAGGAGAGGUAAUGAAAAACUAGAGAUAGAUAAUAAUAUAUUAGUGUGGAACCGAUAACUAAUAUCUAUAUAGACAAAGUAGAAAGGAGUAACCGAUCUAAGCUAGAAAUAGUUAAAUAAUAAGGAUAUGAAUUGAAACAUCUUAGUAAUAUCUAAUAGAACCAACAGGGAUAAUAAAAAUACCGGUGAGGGAAAUUAUUAUUAAGUAUAAAAGUAAUACCAUGAGGUAUGAAGAUAGUAGUGCUACUACUAAUACGAAUAAGAGAUAUUAAGUUAUAAGUACCGUGAGGGAAAGUGGUAAGGGAGUUGUUAUUGACCGCCUUAAGGUAUUUAAUACCUUAAGGCGGUGAGUAUAUAAUAUACCCUGUAUAAACACUGAUAUAAGGAGCAGCUAUAGUAUAGCGUACCUCUUGUAUAAUGGGUCAGUGAGUCAUAUUGAAUAGCGAAAUAAAUAAUUAUAUAUAAUAAGUAUAAGUUAUUGGAUAUGGACCCGAAAGUAUAUGAUCUAUACAUGGUCAGGUUAAAUAGUAGAGAGACCCGCCCUUAGGGGCGGGUGCUAGAUUAUUUAGACCGAACAGGUGGGUGUAGCAAUACCUUCUGAAGAACUGUGUAUCGUUGUGAAAGGCUAAUCUCAUAUACAGAUAGCUGGUUAUCCGUGAAAUAUAUAUUAGUAUAGCCUUUAUUAAUUAUUUACUUGGUAAAUCACUAGAUAUAUGUUGGGAGUAAAUAUAGAACUUAUCAACUGUAUCUAAUAUCUGAACAAGUUAACAUCUCACCUAUAAGAUGAAUGUAUAAUUAAAUAAAGAGUCAGUCUUUAUGCGAUAAGGUAUAAAGACCAAAAGGGAAUAGCCUAGACUGUGAAAUGAAGGUCCCUAAUUAUAGUUAAGUGGAUAUAAUCCCAUGGUAUAUACCAUACUCUAUUUAAGCAAUUAGUCAGUUGAUAUGAUAGUAAUCAUCUGUUAAUGAACGUGUAACAACACACUAAUCGAAUAUAAAUGAAUAGAGGAUGGGAGUAGAUAAUCGGGCCUAUAACUAUAGACCAAAUUACAGAUCCACCCGACCGGAGGUCGGGUGGAUGGUAACGGAUCAUUCUAUGUAUACAAUAGAACAGAUAAUGCUGACUUGAGUAACGUUAGAUAGUAUGAAACUAUCCCCAUAAUGCAUAAGGUAUUACUACUAAUUAACGGCCUCUAAUAUAUAAUAUGAAAAUAUUAUAUAGAUGAGUAAUAUAACUAGAAAUUAAUAUAACCGUACUGUAGUCCGACACUGGUGUGCAAUAUAAUUAAUAUAUAUAUAAUAAUAUAUAAUUAUAUAAUGGGUAUGAGAUAAUCCCUGUGAAUGAACUCGGCAAUUAAGGGUAUAACUUUAUAAUUUAGUGCGACUGUUACCCAAAAACAUAGCCUACUGCUAACAUGGAAUGUAAGUAUAGUAGGUGAUACCUGCCCGGUGCUAGUAAGAUAAUUAAUAAUAUACUGGUUAACGGCGGUCUUAUCAUGAGGAUCCGAAGGUAGCGAAAUUCCUUGACGUAUAAUUGGCGUCCUGCAUGAAUGAUUACACGAUGCUAUAGAUGUAUCCACAGGGAGCUCAGUGAAAUAGUACUUGCAGUGUAGAUACUGUAUGUAGCAACAGGUUGACGAGAAGACCCUAUGCAGCUUUACUAUAAGACUAUAUUGUUACAAUAUUAUAAUUUAAGUAUAUAAAAUAAUUUAGCUUAUAUAUAUAAUAUAUUUAACUAACUAUACCUUCAGGUAUAGGACAUUAUAGUCUGGUUAGUUUCGAUGGGGCGUCGGCAUCACACAAAAUAACUGAUGUGUCUAACUGAUAAUUAAUAUAAACAUUCUAUUCAUUAUAUAAGAAUAUGAAUAUAAUAGUAUGACCAGGUACAGUAAGACUAGAUUGUAACUAGUACAUAAUAAUAUGUAUAUAACAUAUAUUAAAUGAUAUGGAUAAUAACCUAACUGUGCUAUGAUAAGGAGACUUACAAGUCGACUUAGUACGUAAGUAUAGUAUAAUGAACAGGUGAUUUCUUCAGCAUAGAGUGCCGAUAACGGAUCAAAGUUACGCUAGGGAUAACAGGGUAAUACCGCUAGAGAGUUGAUAUCGUCAGCGGUGUUUGCCACCUCGAUUAGAUAUAGUCGAGUAUAAAUGGGGUGAAUUGCAAGAAAGUCUAAGGGUCAUAACCACCCGACCUUCGUCGAAGGUCGGGUGGUAUUAUGGAAGGACCUAUGAUGACUUGCAGCGAAGUAUUAUUUAUACAUAUAACUCAACUCCAAAGGAGUUGGGUGAUAAAGAAUAAUAAACGUUCAACGACUAGAGAGUGAGUAGUAUAACAAUAUCUCUCCACGAGCGCUUCAGAAUAUAUAAGUAUAUAUAUUUAUGACAUAGUCUGAACUAUAAUGAAAAUUAUAGAUAUUAGUAUAAAGAGGCUAAUGAUAACAAUAUUGGUCGUCU
rnacentral:rRNA from 1 species